CUAACCCUUGUCUCUAGUUGCCAGUAUUAAGUUAGGGACUCUAGAGAGACUGCCUCGGUUAACGGGGAGGAAGUGGGGAUGACGUCAAGUCCUCAUGGCCUUUAUACCCCAGGGCUACACACGUGCUACAAUGGGCUGCACAAAGGGUCGCUAGCUCGCGAGAGUACGCUAAUCCCAAAAAGCAGUUCUCAGUUCGGAUUGGAGUCUGCAACUCGACUCCAUGAAGUUGGAAUCGCUAGUAAUCGUGGAUCAGCACGCCACGGUGAAUACGUUCCCGGGCCUU
rnacentral:rRNA from 1 species